UUCCGGUUGAUCCUGCCGGACCUGACUGCUAUCGGAUUGAUACUAAGCCAUGCGAGUCAUUGUAGCAAUACAAGGCAGACGGCUCAGUAACGCGUAGUCAAUCUAACCUAUGGACGGGGAUAACCUCGGGAAACUGAGAAUAAUACCCGAUAGAACAUUAUGCCUGGAAUGGUUUAUGUUUCAAAUAAUUUAUUGCCGUAGGAUGGGACUGCGGCCUAUCAGUUUGUUGGUGAGGUAAUGGCCCACCAAGACUAUUACAGGUACGGGCUCUGAGAGGAGUAGCCCGGAGAUGGGUACUGAGACACGGACCCAGGCCCUAUGGGGCGCAGCAGGCGAGAAAACUUUGCAAUGUGCGAAAGCACGACAAGGUUAAUCCGAGUGGUUUCUGCUAAAGGAACCUUUUGUUAGUCAUAGAACCACUAAUGAAUAAGGGGUGGGCAAGUUCUGGUGUCAGCCGCCGCGGUAAAACCAGCACCUCAAGUGGUCAGGAUGAUUAUUGGGCCUAAAGCAUCCGUAGCCUGCUUUGUAAGUUUUCGGUUAAAUCCAUACGCUUAACGUAUGGGCCGCCGGAAAUACUGCAAAGCUAGGGAGUGGGAGAGGUAGACGGUACUCGGUAGGAAGGGGUAAAAUCCUUUGAUCUAUCGAUGACCACCUGUGGCGAAGGCGGUCUACCAGAACACGUCCGACGGUGAGGGAUGAAAGCUGGGGGAGCAAACCGGAUUAGAUACCCGGGUAGUCCCAGCUGUAAACUAUGCAAACUCGGUGAUGCAUUGGCUUGAUGCCAAUGCAGUGCCGCAGGGAAGCCGUUAAGUUUGCCGCCUGGGAAGUACGUACGCAAGUAUGAAACUUAAAGGAAUUGGCGGGGGAGCACCACAAGGGGUGAAGCCUGCGGUUCAAUUGGAUUCAACGCCGGA
rnacentral:rRNA from 1 species